GGCAUCCUGUGCCAGUAUGAGAUGCACCGUGAGUAAAAGGUCUGAGCGAGUGCAAAACCUAGAACUGCCACAUGAAAGAGGCUUCAACAUCACUGAUUUGGCAUGGAGGCUGCCAUUCUUCUCCCAUUUAGACUGCACAUUUUUUCUCAGCAGAGCACAAUUCUGGCACAAGCAAAAAACACAGGAAGAACAGACACAACAGAUGACACCCACCAAAGUCAAUAAGGAAGGAGGGGAAGAAAUUGAUGCUGGUGGGUGAGAGGAUGAGCAAGUAAAGAUCAUCAUCACCAAUCCUGGAAGACAAAGAAAAGCUCACAACAAGUGAAACAUCUUCAGUAAAACCUCUGGUAAUUUAAGGGGAAGGAGGCAUCUAACCUUGAGCAGCGUUUUCUCCCAUGUGGAAACCUUUUCAUCUUCUGUUUUUGCCCAUGUACUGUGAUGUGAAGGCCUUGAAGUGACAGUAAUUGCUGAAGAGUAAAGGAAUGGUUCAAGGGCAUUGCCAGAGAUUCAGCCCCAGGGGCUAGCAGCUUGUAACUGCUCUGGAGAUGACAUUGGGCACAUAUACAGCAAUACAGAAAGUGCUUGUUCUGCUAUGAGAAACCAGUGUAUAAAAGCCACAAACAAGUUAUUCUUGUUCCUCCUUCCACCCACACCAUCAGCCCACAGUUUGUAAGCAAAUCCACUGUGAUCAGCUGUAAUGAGUCCAGCUAUUUGUAUGAAACCAAGUUGGAAUAUGUGUUAGUUUCUUUACAAAGGAAAAUAGUUCUGGUCCUUCAACUAAAACAAAAAAUGCAUGGAAUGACCAGUCAAUAAAACAUUAAGCAUUAUUGAUUUUAGUUAUUGCUGGCAGUCCAUUUGAUGUCAUGGUUUUACAGUGCAAUCUAAUCUGUUUCCACUCAAAUAUGUGUACCAAUUGAGUUGAGUGGACUCUGUCCAAGGUAAGCAUGUAAAGGAUUGCCACCUUCAUACAGGAAAGAAAACUGUUAUGUUGCCUCUUCGGUGGCUUUAGAAACUCCUAUUUUUGUUGCUGUUUUAUUAGGCAACAUUCAUGGAAAAUAUUUGUCAAGUGAGCCCAGCUAUUUUAACUAAGGAAUGUUUUAAAACUGUCGAUACUGGCCUGGUCAGACCACUACAUACAAGCUUUGUUCCUCUGUA